rnacentral:rRNA from 1 species
CUACGGGAUGCUCCAGUGGGGAAUAUUGGACAAUGGGGGAAACCCUGAUCCAGCAAUGCCGCGUGUGUGAAGAAGGCCUUAGGGUUGUAAAGCACUUUCAGUAGUGAGGAAAAGUUUAAGGCUAAUACCCUUGAACCCUGACGUUAACUACAGAAGAAGCACCGGCUAACUUCGUGCCAGCAGCCGCGGUAAUACGAAGGGUGCAAGCGUUAAUCGGAUUUACUGGGCGUAAAGCGCGCGUAGGCGGUUUGAUAAGUCGGAUGUGAAAGCCCCGGGCUCAACCUGGGAAUUGCAUUCGAUACUGUCAGGCUAGAGUAUGGUAGAGGGAAGUGGAAUUCCACAUGUAGCGGUGAAAUGCGUAGAUAUGUGGAGGAACACCAGUGGCGAAGGCGACUUCCUGGCCCAAUACUGACGCUGAGGUGCGAAAGCGUGGGGAGCAAACAGGAUUAGAUACCCCAGUAGUC